rnacentral:rRNA from 1 species
UACGUAGGUGGCAAGCGUUAUCCGGAAUUAUUGGGCGUAAAGCGCGCGUAGGCGGUUUUUUAAGUCUGAUGUGAAAGCCCACGGCUCAACCGUGGAGGGUCAUUGGAAACUGGAAAACUUGAGUGCAGAAGAGGAAAGUGGAAUUCCAUGUGUAGCGGUGAAAUGCGCAGAGAUAUGGAGGAACACCAGUGGCGAAGGCGACUUUCUGGUCUGUAACUGACGCUGAUGUGCG